GAGAAAACCUGCCCUUCCAUCCAAGCCAUGUAGGACCACUUCGGCCAUUGUGGGUAAGGCCUAUGAGGCAGCGGGUCAAGCGGGUGCAGCGCUGCACACCAUGGCGGUCUUGCAGGCCUAUCAGGCUGAUCUGCUAGCAGAGCUGGAUG